CUAACUAAAAAUGACAAACACAGAACACGGACGAGGCAUGUAUUAAAUCAAAAUUUUUAAAGUUAGUAUUAAAUAUAUUAUCACUUUCAAAUUCCAUCAAACUCCUUAGAUUUUCUAAUUGAGUCGACCCUCCUAAAAUUUGCGAAAUUUUUAGGUUAUUAAGCGGAAAAAGAAAGAUUCCCAGUAAGAAAGAGACAGAAAAUGAAAUCUUGGGGUAGUUUGAAGUAUAGCAUAGAUUUAAAAAACCGAUGGCGUUGUUCUUCCGUCUCCGGUAAAAUUGCUAUUUUCUGUGAUAUAUGAACCCAUCGACUCAUAUAAGCACAAUGCCUAAUUGAGGAUGCUCAUAUGAAAUUAGCAGAAGGGCUCUUUCCAUUCAAGUAAAUACAAUUCGAAAUAUGGAUUCCUUUGCAAGUUGUCCCUUGUGUCACCUAACACUUUCACAGUCACAACUCCAAAGGCAUGCCAACAGCCACUUUGAAGGGGAAGAGGAGGAUGAGCAAUUUACUAGGGACUUGGAAUUGGCCCAACAACUUGCCCUUGAAGAAUCAUCUCAUUUUGCUACCACUACUACUACUACUACUACUACUACUACUGCUAGUUCAGAUGAGAAGGUAUCUUGUUUGAUUGCUCUUCAGGCUAGGAGCUCCUGUUAUCAGGUUAAAGUAGAAUCUGGUGGUGGUUUGAUGGCGUUGCUGCGCAAGUGUUUGGAAUUAGACACUAAGAAUUCUUGUACUAGUACUGUUUUGUUGUCAGGUUAUGUUGAUCAUUAUCAAACCUUGCCCUCUGAGGAUGGUGGUUGGGGUUGCGGAUGGCGUAAUAUUCAAAUGCUCUCUUCUUACUUGCUUUCCUGUAGACCAGAUGCUCAGCAGGUUUUGUUUGGUGGGUCUGGUUUCGUCCCUGAUAUCCCUUAUCUCCAGAGAUGGCUUGAGAUUGCUUGGGAAAAUGGCUUUGAUACUUAUGGUGCUCAACAUUUUAACCAUUCCCUUUAUGGCUCCAAAAAUUGGAUUGGAACUACUGAAUGCGCUGCUCUUUUUCGUUCGUUUGGCCUUUGGGCUAGAAUUGUUGAUUUCGGUCCCAAUGAAUUGAAACCUCAUUUCCUUUCUGUUCCUGGUGCGCAUGUCAGCUCACCAAAUGUUAGAAUCAAGAGGAAAGCCUUUCAGAUUUAUGGACCAAUGGAUAGAUAUCUGACUAGCAGAAACCAUGAUGUUUCCCAACCAGAUCCUUCCGCGUCUGAUAAUACUAAAUGCUCUACGAGUCCCUUGGCCAGUGGAAAAAAUCAAACUACACCAAAUAAAUGGAUAAAGAACAAUGAGGGUCCCCAAGUUCUCCUUGAUUGGGUGUGGAAUUAUUUUUCAGAUGGUAGCUCAACAGCAUCCGCCCACCAUUCACGUGUUAUUGUUACUGACAAAGCGCCCUUAUACUUCCAACAUGAUGGACACUCAAGAACUGUUGUUGGGAUUGAAGUCAAUCAUCAACUGAAGGGCAAGCUGCGAUACAAUCUCUUGAUUUUGGACCCUGGUCAUAUUCUUUGCUUAAAUAUAGAGAACGGCAGCACUAGAAAGAUCACUUAAAGAAUAUGUUGGAUGGAAGAAGCUAAUAAAAAGAGGAGUUCAUACAUUGAGGAAGCCUCAAUACCAGUUAUGCUAUAUUGAUCCUGGAUUAGCAAGUAGGGAGGAGAUAGAGAAGCUCAAGACAAUAGAUAGUACCUUUAUUGAAUUCUAGAAGAGAAGCUUUAUGUCUAUGGUUCUAUUUUAUCCUUCCGAUCAUGUAAUUAAACCUCCUGGCUAAUUUUUCUUAAUGAAAAUGAAUGGAUUCCCAUUUGUUAUAA